GACGAACGCUGGCGGCGUGCUUAACACAUGCAAGUCGAACGGAAAGGCCCUGCUUUUGUGGGGUGCUCGAGUGGCGAACGGGUGAGUAACACGUGAGUAACCUGCCCUUGACUUUGGGAUAACUUCAGGAAACUGGGGCUAAUACCGGAUAGGAGCUCCUGCUGCAUGGUGGGGGUUGGAAAGUUUCGGCGGUUGGGGAUGGACUCGCGGCUUAUCAGCUUGUUGGUGGGGUAGUGGCUUACCAAGGCUUUGACGGGUAGCCGGCCUGAGAGGGUGACCGGCCACAUUGGGACUGAGGUACGGCGCAGACUCCUACGGGAGGCAGCAGGGGGGAAUAUUGCACAAUGGGCGGAAGCCUGAUGCAGCGACGCCGCGUGCGGGAUGACGGCCUUCGGGUUGUAAACCGCUUUCGCCUGUGACGAAGCGUGAGUGACGGUAAUGGGUAAAGAAGCACCGGCUAACUACGUG
rnacentral:rRNA from 1 species